UGUGACUGAAUUCUAAGUUCUAUAGAACUUACGUUCAUACAAUGGAAAACAUGGAAAUGACUCAGACAUCAGAAAGUUUUAAAUUUUCUUACUACUAUCCAUUAUCAUCUUGGGAAAUUUCUUGUAAGUGUCCCACCUGGAUGAGCCCAUAGGAGAUUCAGAGAGAAGACCCAUGCUGUGUGGAAAAGGCAUCCAGGCUCUCCAUUCCAGAGGAUCUGUGGACCAUGCUUUCUACAACUACACGUGCCCAAAGGGUUUCUCUGGGGCAGUGCCUCCUCUGGUGAGGAUGGAGUGCUGCUGCCAAAUUCUGGGCACUGGGUACUGCUGCUUGCCCCACUCGCUGCCUUGUCACUAGCAGGCCUCAAACGGUUCAAUCUCACUGGUGUUCACAACACUCCCUACCUGCUGAUAAAAGUGUCAGUCUCCUGGAAAGAACCUAAAAUAGAGGGGAGGCCAAAUGCCCUCUUCUGACUCACUCUUAUGAGUACAGUGGGACUAUUCACACUUGGUAUCACAGAAGGCUGGGGAGAAGGAGCAUUUGGACAUAAAGAAACAUUCUCAAUACCAUCCAAUCACAGUUCCACUCAUCUUUUGAGUCCAAAGGGGCUUUAUAUAGCCACACUUUCUGGUUUCCUUAGUUCAUGCGAAGGAUUUAUUAUAUGUGGACAGUUUCUUAAAUAGA